CAUAGGAAGAGAGAGGCAAGAGCGUCCGCUAUGUGAGCUGGUCAGCAGCAGGGACUGGGGACUUCCUCUGUCCCCGGACAUCUCCUUCUUCCUCUCUUCUUUCCCUGCACUCCCCCAUAUCUCUUUCUUUUUUUGUGACACUCACGCAUGCUAAGGGAGCAACCAUCACUGAGUGACAUCCAUGAGUGUGACACUCAUGCAUGCUAAGGGAGCACACCAUCACUGAGUGACAUCUCAGUCCCCACACCGCUUACUUCUUCCUCACCUCACAAAACUCUCCAACAGGUCCAUGUUUUUGCGGUCACUCACAAACUCUCCAAUCAUUUUUUUGUCUAACCGAGGGUUUUCUCGGAGCCAUUGGGCUACCUCCGUGUUAUCCAUUGGGAUGGUGAGGAGGCCUUUCUCCUGCAGAAAUUGGAUCCCCUUCUUUGGUUUUUGGUUGAACUGCUCUGUACCAGUGAUCAGCAGCUAGAAGACAAAAACUAGACCAUGUCAGGCCCAGCACCGUGCCAGGCUGGGUUCCCGUGGAUCUGGCAGAAGACAGGAAAAUCGAGGUGGCUUCCUGGUGAACUUUUUGUCAGCUAGGAUGGAAGGAAGAGGAUAAACACACAAGACCUUUGUACAGUUACUGAUGCUCUCCCCAGCAAAACCACUUGCUGGUUGAGGGUGUUGAGGACUUUGGCCUGACAAUGAGACUCAGUGCUGUCAAUAACUGUCAAAAGGGCAUCAAGAGACAGCAGGUGUGUUGUAUAAAGCUGACCAGACACAGGAAAGGCAUUCUGGAAAGAAAACAGAGCCAUUAGACUUGAGUGAUGAUCUCCAUGAGCUUUUUGAUGUACAUCUGUCAACAGCAAUCCAGCGACAGCCAUUUGGUUGAGGAAAGACGGCAACAGAAAAUUGGAUAGGAACAACACCAAACAGGAGGCAAAAGCCCACUCAGGAGGCAUGUAUUGGGAGAUACCGAAAGAGCCCCUUCUCAGUAAUAUAUUCCCCGCUUUGUCUCCCAUAAGGCUCUCAUUCCUAUUUCCAGUCUCAAAGAAGUUGUCUACUGUCCUUUUAAAAAUGUGUUGUCUAUAAAGCGAGCCUUGCUCAACCGGAGGAUGCUCCAGCCACCAGAAAGCCAGGUAGGCUGCCUAUUCCUGGAUCCUCCCACAAACUUUCCCGGUACUCCUCCCAUCCUCUCCCCAACCCCCCA
rnacentral:lncRNA from 1 species